AUGAACGCUGGCGGCGUGCCUAAUACAUGCAAGUCGAGCGAACAGACGAGGAGCUUGCUCCUCUGACGUUAGCGGCGGACGGGUGAGUAACACGUGGAUAACCUACCUAUAAGACUGGGAUAACUUCGGGAAACCGGAGCUAAUACCGGAUAAUAUAUUGAACCGUAUGGUUCAAUAGUGAAAGACGGUUUUGCUGUCACUUAUAGAUGGAUCCGCGCCGCAUUAGCUAGUUGGUAAGGUAACGGCUUACCAAGGCAACGAUGCGUAGCCGACCUGAGAGGGUGAUCGGCCACACUGGAACUGAGACACGGUCCAGACUCCUACGGGAGGCAGCAGCAGGGAAUCUUCCGCAAUGGGCGAAAGCCUGACGGAGCAACGCCGCGUGAGUGAUGAAGGUCUUCGGAUCGUAAAACUCUGUUAUUAGGGAAGAACAAAUGUGUAAGUAACUAUGCACGUCUUGACGGUACCUAAUCAGAAAGCCACGGCUAACUACGUG
rnacentral:rRNA from 1 species